rnacentral:rRNA from 1 species
CUGGCGGCGUGCUUAACACAUGCAAGUCGAACGGUGAAGCCAAGCUUGCUUGGUGGAUCAGUGGCGAACGGGUGAGUAACACGUGAGCAACCUGCCCUGAACUCUGGGAUAAGCGCUGGAAACGGUGUCUAAUACUGGAUAUGAGCUGCGGAGGCAUCUUCGUGGUUGGAAAGAUUUUUCGGUUUGGGAUGGGCUCGCGGCCUAUCAGCUUGUUGGUGAGGUAAUGGCUCACCAAGGCGUCGACGGGUAGCCGGCCUGAGAGGGUGACCGGCCACACUGGGACUGAGACACGGCCCAGACUCCUACGGGAGGCAGCAGUGGGGAAUAUUGCACAAUGGGCGGAAGCCUGAUGCAGCAACGCCGCGUGAGGGAUGACGGCCUUCGGGUUGUAAACCUCUUUUAGCAGGGAAGAAGCGAAAGUGACGGUACCUGCAGAAAAAGCGCCGGCUAACUACGUGCCAGCAGCCGCGGUAAUACGUAGGGCGCAAGCGUUAUCCGGAAUUAUUGGGCGUAAAGAGCUCGUAGGCGGUUUGUCGCGUCUGCUGUGAAAUCUGGGGGCUCAACCCCCAGCCUGCAGUGGGUACGGGCAGACUAGAGUGCGGUAGGGGAGAUUGGAAUUCCUGGUGUAGCGGUGGAAUGCGCAGAUAUCAGGAGGAACACCGAUGGCGAAGGCAGAUCUCUGGGCCGUAACUGACGCUGAGGAGCGAAAGGGUGGGGAGCAAACAGGCUUAGAUACCCUGGUAGUCCACCCCGUAAACGUUGGGAACUAGUUGUGGGGUCCAUUCCACGGAUUCCGUGACGCAGCUAACGCAUUAAGUUCCCCGCCUGGGGAGUACGGCCGCAAGGCUAAAACUCAAAGGAAUUGACGGGGACCCGCACAAGCGGCGGAGCAU